GACGAACGCUGGCGGCGUGCUUAACACAUGCAAGUCGAACGGUGAAGGGACUGGUUUUGCUGGUCCUGGAUGAGUGGCGAACGGGUGAGUAACACGUGAGUAACCUGCCCCCUUCUUCUGGAUAACCGCAUGAAAGUGUGGCUAAUACGGGAUAUUCUGGGUCUGUCGCAUGGUGGGCCUGGGAAAGAUUGCGCCUUUUUUGGUGCUUUUGGUGGGGGAUGGGCUCGCGGCCUAUCAGCUUGUUGGUGGGGUGAUGGCCUACCAAGGCGGUGACGGGUAGCCGGCCUGAGAGGGUGGACGGUCACACUGGGACUGAGACACGGCCCAGACUCCUACGGGAGGCAGCAGUGGGGAAUAUUGCACAAUGGGCGCAAGCCUGAUGCAGCGACGCCGCGUGAGGGAUGGAGGCCUUCGGGUUGUGAACCUCUUUCGCCAGUGAAGCAGGCCUGCCUCUUUGUGUGGGUGGGUUGACGGUAGCUGGAUAAGAAGCGCCGGCUAACUACGUG
rnacentral:rRNA from 1 species